GAUGAACGCUGGCGGCGUGCUUAACACAUGCAAGUCGAACGGUGAAACAGGAGCUUGCUCCUGCGGAUCAGUGGCGAACGGGUGAGUAACACGUGAGCAAUCUGCCCCGGACUCUGGGAUAAGCGUUGGAAACGACGUCUAAUACCGGAUACGAGCUGCGAAGGCAUCUUCAGCAGCUGGAAAGAAUUUCGGUCCGGGAUGAGCUCGCGGCCUAUCAGCUUGUUGGUGAGGUAACGGCUCACCAAGGCGACGACGGGUAGCCGGCCUGAGAGGGUGACCGGCCACACUGGGACUGAGACACGGCCCAGACUCCUACGGGAGGCAGCAGUGGGGAAUAUUGCACAAUGGGCGCAAGCCUGAUGCAGCAACGCCGCGUGAGGGACGACGGCCUCGGUUGUAACGUACUUUACGUUAGGUAAGAAGACGAAGUAGACGGUACCGU
rnacentral:rRNA from 1 species